GGCAGCCGCCGCGGGAACACCGGCGGCCCGAGUGGUGAUCGUGAUUAUUGGGUCUAAAGGGUCCGUAGCCGGUUUGGUCAGUCCUCCGGGAAAUCUGAUAGCUCAACUAUUAGGCUUUCGGGGGAUACUGCCAGACUUGGAACCGGGAGAGGUAAGAGGUACUACAGGGGUAGGAGUGAAAUCUUGUAAUCCCUGUGGGACCACCUGUGGCGAAGGCGUCUUACCAGAACGGGUUCGACGGUGAGGGACGAAAGCUGGGGGCACGAACCGGAUUAGAUACCCGGGUAGUCCCAGCCGUAAACGAUGCUCGCUAGGUGUCAGGCAUGGCGCGACCGUGUCUGGUGCCGCAGGGAAGCCGUGAAGCGAGCCACCUGGGAAGUACGGCCGCAAGGCUGAAACUUAAAGGAAUUGGCGGGGGAGCACAACAACGGGUGGAGCCCUGCGGUUUAAUUGGACUCAACGCCGGACAACUCACCGGGGGCGACAGCAAUAUGUAGGCCAAGCUGAAGACUUUGCCUGAAUCGCUGAGGAGUGGUGCAUGG
rnacentral:rRNA from 1 species